GGGUGCACACUGGGCAUCUGGGAGUUUAUGACAUCACAAUGGGGCUGGUGACAGAGCUAGGGUGUGGAGGAGUGCUUAGGAGCCCAGCGAGGGUGCCUACAAGAGGAGUCAAAGGGCAAAGGAUGAAAAAAUUGAGGCUCAAAGAAGUCCACCAAAUUGAGAGUGAAGUAGGGGAAACAGCAUUUAACGCUUACAUUCUAAUGAUUUGUGUAAGAGCAGCAGGACAAGCUAUACAAAGAAAAAGGUGGAAUUAUCAGGAUGGAAUUAAAGAUGCUUCCAAACAGAGGGGAUAUCUCAAGCCAUGACUCAGAGAGUUCUCCCCACAUUAUUAAUGGUAUGGGAAUUAGGAGAAGGUCAUCUGACUCACAUGGAUCACCAUAUAAUUCCUUCUGGAGAACAGAAAAAAUGCAGAAGAGGAAAACCUCCAUAUGUGAAGCUAUGGCAAGGGAGUCUCCCCACCCCGCGCUCCAACAGAGUCUGGAGAUAAAUACCAGUCCAUAUUCUGCUGCUACCUCCCUCGUUGACCACUUUGACUUCAUUCAGCAUUUUAUGCGAGAGGCACAAGGAAAACAAGGAAUCAGUGCUGCUCUAUGAAUCAUUUGUCAAAGGGAGAUUUAAAUGCAUGUUCCUUACCUGCCUAGAGGAAAAUACA
rnacentral:lncRNA from 1 species